AACGAACGCUGGCGGCAUGGAUUAGGCAUGCAAGUCGAACGGGCGCAGCAAUGCGCUAGUGGCGAAAGGGUGAGGAACGCGUGAGCAACCUGCCUUCAAGUUGGGAAUAACAGUUGGAAACGACUGCUAAUACCGAAUGUGGCUCUCGAUCGCAUGAUCGGGCGGCUAAAGAUUUAUUGCUUGAAGAUGGGCUCGCGUCCCAUUAGCUAGUUGGUGAGGUAACGGCUCACCAAGGCGACGAUGGGUAGCUGGUCUGAGAGGAUGGUCAGCCACACUGGGACUGAGUCACUGCCCAGACUCCUACGGGAGGCUGCAGUCGAGAAUCUUGGGCAAUGCGCGAAAGCGUGACCCAGCAAUGCCGCGUGCGGGAUGAAGGUCUUCGGAUUGUAAACCGCUGUCACCCGGGACGAAAGAUGACGGUACCGGGGGAGGAAGCCACGGCUAACUACGUGCCAGCCGCCGCCGUAAAAC
rnacentral:rRNA from 1 species